CGACUAGAAGGGCUGCACAAGUGGCUCGUUAGGGUUUAACCCUGUCUGGUUG
rnacentral:ncRNA from 1 species